GGCCGCGGGGCCUGGAAGCAGCCUCCGGGAUCUGCAAGUCUGGAAAGGCCACGUUGUGGACCUUGGCGCAGAGGUUAUGGGGGCGACCCGGAGCGGAUGGUUUCAGGAAAACUAGAACCCACCCUCAUGGCCUGAACAACUGGAGAGAAGAGGAUCGCAGCAAUUUAAAGCCAGCGGCAAGGAUCACAGUCCUGGGGUCAGGGUCUCGCUCGGUCACCCAGGCUGGAGUGUAAUGCUGCGAUCUCGGCUCACUGCAACGUCCGCCUCCCGGGUUCAAGAGAUUCUCCUGCCUCAGCCUCCCGAAUAGCUGGGCGUGCCACCACGCCCGGCUGAUUUUUGUAUUUUUAGUAGAGACGGGGUUUCACCAUGUUGGCCAGGUUGGUCUCGAACUCCUGACCUCAAAUGAUCCGCCCGCCUUGGCCUCCCAGAAUGCUGGGAUUACAGGCGUGAGCCACCGCGCCAGGCCGACAACUGGUAUCUUAAGGCUUAGGGCCUCUGGUAGAAGUGAGCUCCACCUCCCUUCCUGUGUAGAAGGUAAAUGCAUUCAUUCAUUCAGUGAAUCGAGCAUGCAUGAAAUCGUUUGCGCACACCCAGAAGCCCACCUGCGAGCCACAGGAGCAGCCAUUCCAGGAAGCCAAGCUAUAAUGGGAGACGCAAGGAAUGGAGGCGGAACUCCUGUUUUUAAGUCCUAGCUCCAACACUAGCCUUGUCAGCCUGUAAUUCUGAAUUACUGGGCGCCUCUGAGGCUUCUUGUCUCAUCUGCAAAUCAGGAACAACGGCAUAGAGUGGUGAAUGCAUCAAGUGGGAUGAUGUCUGCAAGUACGCAACCCGCUUACACAAAGAAUUAUCUUUCCAUAACCUUCCCUGGACCCCUAGGGCCAGCAGGGAAUCAUAGCCUCCCUUUGUUUCUAGAGCCCGGAAAUCACUGGGUUUUCCCUCUGUCUGGAGCAGAGCUGGGUGCGAAUUUGACCAACGGGUGGCAGGAACAGCCGGAGCAGGAUAUUAAGGAGCGGGCGAGCUUGCCAAGCAUGCGCAGUAGCGGCGGGUUGGUUUGAGAAGCCGCCAGGGAGCCAGCGCGGCGACCUAGCUGGCUGGGGCAGGGGAGGGGCCCGCCUUAUAUGGGAGCUGCGUGGGGACAAACUGUUCGGGCCCAACGCGCGGGUCUGAGAGACAGCCACGCCUGCUCCGGGUCACUCCGGCCACCUGGGGGGCGUCGGCGCGCAGACUCUGGCCAGUUCAGUAUUCAAACUCUUCAGGAGUGCUAACUUACUCAUGACAGCGAUUUUCUGUAUCGGGGUUUCAUUGGUCGGUGGUUUAGAAGGUUUUGCUCAUUCAUUCGUUAAUGUAAUUCCAACAACCUACACGUGUUUAUAAGCCCCCUUUCCAUCCACGACUUUGCUGUCUGACACAAAACGGACCAUCGCAGCCCGGCAGACGCUUUAGACAACAAACAGCAUGCCUGGAGCUUUUCAAUAGGAAGCAGUAAGGCUUGAUCAUCACAGACGAUACGGAACGGGCACUUUCUUAGCAGAAAAUAUUUCUAUUGGGGCGUGAAGGAAGUUUCUGAAAGGGAAGAUUAUUAUAAGAUAAGGGGUUUGCUCAUCUCAGACUUUAGUGUGCCUGCUUUAAAGUGUUUUGCAAACUUGAAUGUUUAAAGGAAUCACCUGGCGGUCUUGUGAAACUGCAGCUUCUAAUGGGCAAGUCAGAGGGGAAGCCUGAGACAUGGCAUUUCCAGCACGUUCGGGGAGUGAAGAUGCUGUCGGCUGCCACCCUCCCUGCAAGGAGCCAGGGGAUAGAUGACCUCUACGCAAACUCUCCCCUCAAUGGGAAGUAGAAUCUCUUUCUCCACCUCUUCAAUAUGGCUGGCCCUGGAACUUCCCUUGGCACACAGAAUGCAGCAGAAUUGGCUUCAUGUUGUUUCUAAGCCUUGGCCUCAGAGGCCUUGCAUGCUUCCUAACCCUGGCUCUAGGAAACUUGCUGCUGUCAUGUAAGCAAGCCCAGGCUAACCUACUGAAUGUUGGUGUGUCCCAGUCAAAUCCAGCACUGCAACCAAUAGCCAGGCAGCCACCAGACAUGUGAGUGGGGCCACCUCACACCAGCCAACCUCCACCAAGUCAUCAGAUGUAUGAGUGAGAACAGCCCAGAACAACUGAGCCCGUCCAGACCAGCGGAACAACCAAGCUGACCAGUAGACUUAGGAGCAGUAAACAGAUGAUUGUUAUGGAAGCCAUUCUGUUUAGGGUGUGUGUGUUAUUGCUUGCAUCCAAAUACAUCCUAUCUCAUCUAAUGAGAAAAGGCCCUGCUCAAGGGCUUUUGCAGCUGUAGUUGGGCGCCGGAAGUGUCUUUGUGGUCAUUUCUUACUCCAUACACGGGGAGAUCAAGGCUCAGACCAGGUAGUGUGACUGUGGACAACACUUUCCUUACCCCUCUGUGACACUUAAAUCAAUGAAGCAGAUUCACAGAAGCAUGCAUGCUCACUGAACACAGUAUUUGCAUUCCUACCUCCAAACCUUUGCUCCACCCAUGCAUCCAGUAAGAAUGCCUACUUCCCUCCUCUCCUCCAUCGAGUUCUUUCUUUGAGUUCUACCUUCCCUAGUCUUCCUCCACUGCACCAACCCACGGUGAUCCCUGUCUCUUCCAAAUGCUUUGUAACAUGGUAGGCAUCACUCACUUGUGACUCAUUGGACCAUUUUAAAACUUGGUUUUCUGUGUCUCUUUUCCAACAAAAUUACAAAUUCUUUGAGGGUAAAAGUCAGGCCUAAUAGUUCUCUGUACUCCUAGUAGUGCCAGUGUGGUAAAAAUUUAACUUGACAAUUAGCAAAACCAAUAAAUUCCUUACACUAUUCUGUUCCUGUAGGUAAUCAGUAUAUGAAUAUGGAUUCCUAUGUGAUGAUUUUCUGGUCUAUUUUGUCCCUUUUUUUUUUUUGUUACUUUAACCAGGCCAUAACAUAAAGGUUAUGCCAUUUGUUACUGUCAAGCUUAAUUAAGCCCAUUAUAAUUCGUUAACCCCUGUGCUUGCUUUGUAAUUAACAUUGAUUAACACAAACAAGUACAAAAUAGGCCAUCAGCACUUUCCAGAAGUGCUGAUUACAAUUACAUUGGUAAUUCAAUACGGUAUAGAAGAUGGCAGGAUAGUAACUUGCACUCUGUUUACAUAAGGAGACAAAUGCUACCAUGCAAAACUAAGCCAAGAAACAAAAUACUUUCCUCAUCCAACUCACUGAUUAAACCCUUACCCUGUUAACUCACCCUAUGACUGUGUAAACCUCCAGUAAGAUUAUUGAAGGCACAGCUCCAAGUAACUUGCUUAAUUGCAUUCCUGGGACAAAAGAGGGAAGCGCUUCAAAGCUGACAGACAGAUGGUAGAGUGUCCAGUCACAGCAAAGCAGGCCCCGAGGCUCAUGACAGACAACUCCAGGGCUGAGAUCUCAUUUGUAGCUCUGGGAUAAAGUCCAGGGUUUGAUGGCAGCAGGCUGAAGUGUAAAGAUGCUCAACAAUGCGCACCCCAGAGACACUGAAUCUGAAAAAGCUUAGAGUGAAUAAAAAUCUGGAAAUGAACUCUGUCUGUCUAUUCACCAUUCCCCCCAUAAAAAAAUUCCUAUAUUCCGGAUGGUGUUCAAGUUCCCUUUCCACAGGACCUCAGCAGUCAGGGAGGUGCUCCUGCAAUCUAUGUGAAGGAGAUUUCACCAUGCCCACAUGGGAAUACAGUAGAUUGCCAGUAGGGAUGCCACACCUUUGCAUUUCCUCGUAUUUCCAGGAACAAAGCUGGGGUGCCUAGGAGCUGCAGCAGUUUUUCUUCUGUGUAAAAUAAGCAAGCAGGACUCUGCCCCACUGCACUCCAGGGAAGGAUUAAGAGAAUUGAUAUCAUCCAAAUCAAUUGGCCCUGUGCAGAUGACUUGAUAAUGAGGCCAUUGAGUUUUUAUGGUUCACUAUUAUUGCUACAAAAAUUAUGCUGCAGAAAUCAUUCAAAUGCUCAAAAAGGAGCAUUAGUACGAAACUGGGUGUUCCAAAGUUGUUGCUGAGAGGUGUGUAAUGUUCCUGAAGAUCCCCAAGGCACUAAGACUUCUCUGUACAUGAAUGACUCAUAGAGAAGAAAUACACCAGAUGAAAAUAUAUGGAGAAGUUUGCCGAAUGUCAUAUAACUU
rnacentral:lncRNA from 10 species